UUUGAUCAUGGCUCAGAUUGAACGCUGGCGGCAGGCCUAACACAUGCAAGUCGAGCGGCAGCACAGAGAAACUUGUUUCUCGGGUGGCGAGCGGCGGACGGGUGAGUAAUGCCUGGGAAAUUGCCCUGAUGUGGGGGAUAACCAUUGGAAACGAUGGCUAAUACCGCAUGAUAGCUUCGGCUCAAAGAGGGGGACCUUCGGGCCUCUCGCGUCAGGAUAUGCCCAGGUGGGAUUAGCUAGUUGGUGAGGUAAGGGCUCACCAAGGCGACGAUCCCUAGCUGGUCUGAGAGGAUGAUCAGCCACACUGGAACUGAGACACGGUCCAGACUCCUACGGGAGGCAGCAGUGGGGAAUAUUGCACAAUGGGCGCAAGCCUGAUGCAGCCAUGCCGCGUGUGUGAAGAAGGCCUUCGGGUUGUAAAGCACUUUCAGUCGUGAGGAAGGUGGUAGUGUUAAUAGCACUAUCAUUUGACGUUAGCGACAGAAGAAGCACCGGCUAACUCCGUGCCAGCAGCCGCGGUAAUACGGAGGGUGCGAGCGUUAAUCGGAAUUACUGGGCGUAAAGCGCAUGCAGGUGGUUUGUUAAGUCAGAUGUGAAAGCCCGGGGCUCAACCUCGG
rnacentral:rRNA from 1 species